rnacentral:rRNA from 1 species
UACGUAGGAUGCAAGCGUUGUUCGGAAUUACUGGGCGUAAAGAGUACGUAGGCGGUUUGAUAAGUCUGCUAUUAAAGACCGGAGCUUAACUCCGGGACUGUAGUGGAAACUGUCAGACUAGAGGACAAUAGAGGAAGUCGGAAUUCUCAGUGUAGCGGUGAAAUGCGUAGAUAUCAGGAGGAACACCAAUGGCGAAGGCAGCCCCCUGGGUCAAAACUGACGCUCAUGCACGAAAGCGUGGGGAGCAAACAGGAUUAGAGUACCCC